ensembl:lncRNA
UGUGUACUUGAUUCUUCUUGGCUUGACUCUGUUAUACUACCUAGAGCUACAACACUGCAACUUAUAUUUGCUACAAUAUCUUGGUGCUUUGGCAGGGAAAAAUCGACAGUGCUAAGUUUAAAAUCACUGGUGAAGCCCUUGUGGAAGGAGUGAAGAUCCCCCACCCCCACCCUGCACCCCAGAUGGACGAGAGGCAUGCCUCCAGAUUUUUCUGAGUCUCCUUGGAGGAGUGGGGGUGGACUGCUCAUUCUACUGCUUGUGGCUCCCCUGGACCCAGAAGGAAAGAGGACGCAGGUCUGGUUUAAUCCAACCUCAUCAUCAGAUAAGGCUCUUCCUGCCAGCCCAUGAGGACAAAGUCCCUAAGGAAGCAGUAUUGAAAUGCUUUGCCUCUGAAGGUUUGACAGGUAAAAAUAUGUAAAUGAAUGUAAUGGGAAAAGUAAUCUAUAGGCUGUCCCAACAGGUAAGUUUUCUUUCAUAGGCUCUAACUGGUUUUUUUGCUUCAUAGAUUGUAACUUUUGUUUCAUAGGCUCUGAACAUUUGUUUCUUAGAUUCUUGUUUUUGUUUCAUAAAUUCUGGCCUUUGUUUCAGCUUUUGUUUCAAAAGUGUCUUAAUUUUAAAUUGUAUGUUUUAAAUGUUGGCAGAUUUCUUAUAUCUCUUAUGCAUUGUCCUUUGAUAAAAUUACAUUUUAUUCCUGUUUUGUAUAUGUUGCAUUUGGAUUUAAUUGCUUAAAAAUGUUGUAAAAUGGGUCUCUUAUGACAUUUUCUCAGAUAAAGACAGAUUUUAUUUGUCCCUUAUAGAAUGCCAAAAAGUGGUUACUCUGCCAGCUAGUAAUUGCCCUUAGGGUAGCUGCUACUCUUAAAGCAAAGGAUAGGUUUCUUCAGUUGCUCUCUGGUAAAUCUGUGCUCCCAUUGAAGCUAAUGAUGGGUGGGACAUUGACCAGAUAGGUAAUUGGGUUCCUUUCAGAGACAGAUCUGUGAUUGCAUGAAACUAGUGGAAACUGGGGUGACAAUUGAGUGGUCAUGGCCAGGGCUACUCUCUGGUGGAUACCCAAAUGUCCCUCAGAAGAAACUAGCUCCCAACAGCCCAUCUGAGUAAUCAGCAGAAAAAUCUUCCCAUCUCAUCCCUAUCUGAGCUCUUCAAUGAGUUGAAAGAGAAACUGUCAGUGAUCAUCAGAUAGCCUCUGUCUCAGAGUGAUCUGUAAUGAUGCAAUCAGAACCCUUUCUUAAGCCUCUACUAAGAUUUGAGAUACAAAUUUCAACUGCUUUCUCUACUAGUAAGAUAGGACCCCAUGUCAGACAUUAAAAAGCAAAUCUUUCAUAGAUUAAAAACUACCUGAACCUUCUCUCCCCCUCCUAAGCUUGGUCUUCAUUAUUUGUGUGUGUAGAAAAUACCUCUGCUGAUAGGCUGUGGACUCUGGAAGUUUGUGGACUUUAAAGUGCUAUGUGGUGAUUUUCUUUUUGAUGUUUAAAUGACUUAAACUUUGUUUGGACUUUUUCUCUCAACAAGUGAGUUAGAAAUUCCACUUAAACUUUUCUCCAACUUGUUGGGAGUUAAUUUUAAAAUUAAUGACCUUAUAGUUAACCCUCUCUUUCCAAGGGGUCAAUCUGAGACAGCUUACAGAAGCUGUUUUGUCUUACAGGAGGGAAAAUGGCAACCAGUUGGUGACUUGCAUUUGUGUUUUUAUGUGCUAACUAGAAUAAAAUAAUUUAGCCAGCCUUUUUCUUCUUGUAUGUGUAAGAAACUGAUAAAGGUGCCUUUAAUAAUAUAUGGAUUGUGGCUGCUAAGAGGAUCUAUGAGUUUCAAAUACUUAGUGAACUUAAAAUGGAUCUUAAAGGAGUAGCCUGAUCUUGCUGCUAAUAAAGGUUGCCUAAGUAAAUUUCUGAGAUUUCUCUGACCUAGGGCCCAGGGCAGAAUCUCUGACCUACCAUCUCUAGAGGUGAUCUCUUUUACAGAAAAGUGGCCUAAUUUGACUGUUGACCUAUUUUCUUCUCUUUCAAGAAACUAGAAAGCAAUGGUUUAAAUCUCUUGGUUUGCUAGCAAUAUACCCUUCUCUAAAAAUGAUUGUUAUGGCUAAGUCAAUUGUAACUAGUGCUUUGAGAGUAUCUACUGGAGUAAGGAUAUGAGUUCCCUGAGGAAGAUAAGAUCAUGAUGCUAAUAAAGGAUUGAGAACUCCAUAUCUGAACCUUAAACUCCUUUGGAAUGUAUUAAGGAACAAUUUAGUAUUUUUCGACAUCUGGACACGGCGUGCCUACCCCUAGAGCCAAAAUAAAAUGUAGAGAAAAAUGUUAUGAUGCUAUUUCAGAACUAAAAAUAUACUGUAAAAAAUGGUCAAAAUUGCCUUUUGUUCAGACUUUCUUUACAUUAAAAAGUAAUCCUUGCUUUUGUUCAAAUGUAAAUGUGGGCCAUAGAAAAACCCUUAAGGCAUUCAGUACCUCUAAGCCUGAGGCUAUACCUUAUCCUUUAGAACCUGAGAACAAAGUUUCCAGAGAAUUUUAAGGUCUAACCACUGGGUACUGAGGGUGGAAUUUCUAGGCCAGCCAUAAUUAAAAUCUCUAUGAGGCUAUAUCCAUCCUUACCUAAGUUGUUAAGUCCCCCAAAGACAUAUCUCUUGGAGAAAAUAAAUAGCAAAUAUGGGACUACCUGUGUGCACGUAUCUUUUUCUCAGUGACCUAAAAGAGGUCAAAUGAGAUCUAAAAAAGUUUUCAGAUGAUCCUUAUCUGUACAUUGAGGUCUUUAGAGAAUUUACUCAGAUCUAUGGACUAGAUUAAAAAGAUGUAAUGUUGCUCUUAAAUCAAACAUUAAUUUCCAAUGAGAGACAAGCAGUAUUCCAAGGUACAUUUAGAAAUACAUUGUUUUGAUUUUAAAAGUUAAAGACAGGCAGCCAGGGGAACAACUAGUUUCUACAGGAAAACAACAAGUUCCUCUAUAAGACCCCCCACUAUCCUGCCAAUCAAAUAAGAGAUUAAAAUAAAAGACAUUUUAAGGCAUGUAUUCUUAAAGAGCUAAGAAAGAUGAGAACUAAGCCCUUCAAUUGCUUUAAAUUGUCAACUAUUUAUCAGGACAAAGUUGAGGACAUUCCUACAUCCUGAUUUGAUAGAAGGAAAUACUGUGUUUUUUUCCAAGUCAGUCUUGCAAUAUGUAAAUGGUAUGCUGUUAUGUAUCCCCUCAAAAGAGCUUUCUAGCCAAGACAUCUGUGCUUUGCUGAAUUUUCCAACAGACAGGGGUUAUAAUGUUUCUAGAUCUAAGGGACAACUUUGCAACCUUGAGGGAAGAUAUUUAGGCCUUAUUAUAUAUAAGGGAACCCAAAGACUAAGGAAAGAAAGAAUUAAACCAAUUCUUUCCUCUCCACAGCCCAAGACUUUAAAAUAGCUAAAGAGAUUCUUUGAAAUUACAGUCUUUUGUCACUUUUAAAUAACAAUGUUGCAGAAAUCUCAGAAAGAAAUACACGGAGUCACAGAAUUCAGAUAAAAUAAUAAAACUUCUCGCGAGCAGGCGGGAAGGCCAGAAACCAGUCUGGCUAGUAUCAGCUAGUUCAGAGUUUCCCUUUUUAUAUCCUUUUUUAGCCAUUAUCUCAUCCCUAGUGGUCUUUGAUGUGUAAAUACAAUUCGGGUUCCUAUUUACAAGUCACAGACACAAGAUAGGGACAUAUACAUUGUAAAUUCACCCUGGCAUGGCAACUUUGUUAGUUUAAUGAAGUUACCCAUUAUAGUCAGAUAAUCAUCACCAUAAACAAGGAGUUAUAGGAAAAGCAAAUCUUAAAAGAACACAUUACUUAUUUUGCUUCUACAAUUACCUUAAUAUUCAAUCUAUUAAGUUAUCUAAAACUUUUCUGUAUCAAAAGGAUAUAAUGAGAUUGCAUGAUCCCUUUAUCAAUUUAUAGAAAACCCCAAAAGACAGAUACCUAUAUUUUAAUCUGGGAACCUUAUUCCCAGACCACAUUCCAGAAGCUCAAACAAACACUUCUAAGUGCCUGCCUAUCAGAUACCAUCUCAGUUUGUACGUUAAUAAAUGAGACAUGGCUUUAGGAGUGUUUCUACAAGAUUGGGGACCUGCUCAAAAGCCUGUAGGGUAUUUAAGUCAUACAUUAGUUAUCAUAGAUUCAAAAUCAUUUAUUUAAAAAGAAAAGCCCUAAAUAAUAUAGUUAAAACACUUUCAUUCUCACUCUUUCAAGAAGAAAAAACAGCCAUUCAGUUUCUUUGAUUAUUUGUUUAAUUUUCUGAUUGACAAUGCGAUUGGAAUUAAUCAUGGAUUUGUCUCUAGACAAAAAGGUCCACUAUAAAAAAAAAGGUCCACUAUAAAAAAAAAGGCUCUGGGGCCAGGGAUUUAGCUCAAUGGCACUGCACCUAUCUUCCAAGUGCAAGGUCCUGAGUUCAAUCCUCAGUACCAAAAAAAAAAAGAUUCAGUACUUGUGCCAUACUUAAAGUCACCCUUCUGUCCCUUCUUCACUGUCAUGCCCCUGAGAAAUAACACAGUUCUCAACAGUAUUUGAUUCAAGGAGCUUCCCUCAUCUGUGGCUGCUGGAUUUCAAGUCAAAGUUCCUAGAAUGGUAAGUUUCCCAUCAUAUGAACCCUUCCAGAGUAAAGCUGACCUUCACUUAUUUCUGGGCCAUGUAAAAAUGGUUUAGGUUUAAUCCUGAAACUCUUGAAGACUAAAUGUAAAUGUUAGCCUAAAUUUAUUUUUCAGUCCUCCGGCAGAAUUUGAGAUGAACUCCUUUUAUGUUCCUCAAGAAUGAUGAUUAAAAAAAAGAGUGAUGAUAGAAAAAUGUAAUUAAAGACAUGCUUCCCUCAGGUUGCCAGAUGAUCCAAAUAAUGUCAACUGGUUUUACAAAUAUAGUACAUAUCGUUGUCUAUAUAUAAUAACUGAAGAAACUUUCAUUGGUCAAAAAUACUGUGUUAUUUGUUAUGAUCUGGCUCUCAUAGGUCAUCUAAAAUUCUGAUAAGAUAAUUAUAUAGACUCUUGGGCUUAAGAAAAUUACUGGACAGGACUCCCCUUGGUAAAUAAAGGAGAGGCUGGCUGGAAAAAAAUUUAUUCCAGCCUUUCUUCAUAAAGGGGACCUUAACAAUUGUAAGACUGAGGGCCUUACCAAACGCUCCGAGGAGCUGACUGCAGCGACGAACACUCGGGAAGGAACACACCGGACAAGUUGAAAAAAUGAAACAGACCUUUAUUAGUCUGGCCAGAUGGCACUCUCAAAGCAAAAUAGCUAAGAGAGGCAACUGGCUCAGAGUCCGAGUUUAUUUUAUAGGGGGUUGAGGGGGAAGUUAACAAGCAGAUUUACGAAAGGGGACAAAGUUUAGUGGUCACUUGAUGUAUGUUGAUAAUCACCAGACAUCUUGACUAAUAGUCAUGGCCGUCGCGUACUAGUGGUCGGCAGAUGUUUGCAAUGUUUGUAGAUCGUUCUAAUAGAUAGCAAUGUUCAGGACAUCAGUUCUGGACAGUGAAUUAGGUGACACACUUUAGGCAUUUUAACUAAUUUUAACAAUCUAAAGCUAGCAGGCACAGAGCAUGAGUGAGGUCAUUAGAAUUAAACAUCCUGGGGUUAGGAUAAAAUCUUACAGCCCCACACAAUCUCCAUACCUUUGUGGGAAAUGCACUGCUAAAUAUUAUUAUUGUGAUAUGUAUACAUUGGUCUCAUUGUCAAAGAGCUAAGUUUUCUGUGGGAAAACAAUAAAGAUUUUAUUUAAAAUGUUCUGGUACAAAACAAAAUUAAGGGACAAAGGGUUUCAUGUAACUGAUACUCAUUGUUAUUUCAUGGUAUACUAAAUAUUCAUGCCUUCUGGCUGAGCAUGUCUCCUAAGAUAUUGUUUAUGUUUUUGACCAUUUUGACUCAGUUAUCUGCCUUUCUCUUGUGGUCCAUCUACUUGUGGUAAGAUGUACGUAUCAAAUCAACAUGAGAUAACCAAUCAAAUAAUACUUUUUCUUAAGAACUUAUGUGAUGGGGAUGUUAUGUGUUACUAUACUUAGGGAUGCUCAGAAGUCAAACAGUCCAAACAAUGUCACACAUUAAAAUGAAGGGCUAGACAUUAUAAACUAAGGUAUAUUUAUAGGCUGAUAUGUGUGUUCUCUUUAGAUGACAUUCUACUAAAGGAUAACAAAUAAGAGUUUUCUAUGUGAUGUUUAAUGUCUUGUAGUCAAAUAGAGUUGCUUGACUAAAAGACUAUUCCAUACUAAGAUGGACAUUUGAGUGUGUUACAAAGAUAAUGUCAUCAUGAUUGUCAUGCUAAAAUAUGAGUGGCUCUUGAUGUUGUUUUUCUAUAUAAUAAAUAGCUGUUCUCUGUUGACAUUCUACAGGAAUUCAACUACUAAAACAACCAUGGUUGAUAAAAAAAUAACAAUCCUCUAACUAUACUUUAUAUUUCAAAAGUGCUUAACGUUCAACAAAAUUAUAAUAGUGACCUUUUCUUCUGGGUGUUCAACUAAGGUUUGGAGACCAAAACUAAAAUGGUAACUGGGCUAUAAGGACAGCUAAUAUUUUGGCCCUAGCCCCUCAAGGUUAACAAAGAUCCAGGACACAAAGGAACCUUUUCUACAGGAUCCUUCAUCUUUGAAUCCACCAGAUGGACCUUAUAAAAAGUUCAUAACUGCUAAACUACAAUUCUGAAGUCACCUGGGCCUUCUUCUUAUCCUCUUUAUGGAAGGCUAUUACUAAUUCUUCUUGACUUAAAGCUACCCAAGAUGACAAUGGCUAGUGCCUGUUGAGGGCCUUUAGAUAGACCCUCUAUAGAGUAUCUCUGACUGCUGAACAGAACUACAACCUCUUCAGCCAGAAAUAGCCAGAAUGUUCUUCACCCCUUGCCCUCUCAUGGCAGUUCGGGAUACUUUGUCAGAGAGGGGAUAUUAUAGAUAGACAGUUAGACAUUUAGGGUCCCCUUCAAGGCACCAGCCCUCAAGGCCCCAGUCCUCAAGAUGCCAGCCCUCCAAGAGCCAACACAGCGAGGAGGCAACAGGGAGAAGAGUUGAGGCACAUUCACCGGUUCCACCAAGAUUAUUGUAUGGGGCUGUUAAAGUUUCAGAGAUCCAGUCAUGGAUUCGUCACUCUUGAAUCAAAAAGGCCCAUCACGAUGACUCUUGGGAGGCCCACACUGAUGAAACAACUCCAUUAACAAUAACACUGAGGAGACAACAUACUCAAAGCCCUGUUCCUGUCACUCCAGACACUGGCAGGCCAACAGAUGGCUGAAGCCUGUCUGAGGACCUCAACCCAUGAACCACUGCCACGCUUUCCAGACUUGGUCUCCCUGGCAUCUUUAUUCUUGCUUACCUCAUCAUGACUACCUUUAUUCUUGACAUAGGCCUAAUAACUGUUACUCCAGAGGACUGGAAUACUUUCCAAAGAUGUUUCCUCUUAGCUAUAUGCUGGGGUUUUAUGGUGACAUUUGCUAUCCUAUCUUGUCUAGAUUGACUCAGAAAAUCCCUGAGAACUGGUGGGGUGUCUUAGGUGACUGGAAGACAUGGUUAGGGGCUUUAUUAGGAUCUCUCUUUGGUAUCUUCAUGUUAUUAACAAUCAAUCUGUGCUUUAUAAACUGGUUCAUAUACUUUAUUUCUCAAUGCCUUAACACCAUUAAGAUCCAAAAAUCAUACUAAUAGAUGGUGACUUCAAGGUCUGAUGUGUACCCUUACACAUGUAAAAACAUAAACCAGCAAAGAAGUUGAAGAUUCAGCUAUAAUCAAAAAGAGGAGGGAAUGAGCAGGAUAUGAUUUCUGACCAGAAGGAGCCUGUGCUGCGGCUAACCAGAUAGCAACAAAAGGCUCCUCCUACUUCUGACCCCUCCCACACCUAAAACAUGUCCUGCAAGUCUGAGUGAGACCUGGACAUGUUUUCCUCCAGUGUCCUUUGUUCUCAGUAGGGUUUCUGUGACUCACGAUAUGUAAAUAAAGUGAAUCCUAGUGUACCUUUCUAUCCAAUUUCAUAAGUUGAACGUGUCUACCUCAAACAAUGAACUAAUGUUGAGUGUCAUGCCACUGUAUCCUUACCCCUCCUUUCCCAAAUCUAUAUAAAUCCUGUUCACCCCCAAGAUGGAGCUGAUAAUUUUGUGGAGAAGUUUCCCAUCAGUCUGCUAGUGAAAUAAACCUGCCUCCAACUUCCAGGAUGUGUGCUUGAUUCUUCUUGGCCCGACUCUCUUAUACUAUUUAGAGCUACAAUACUGCAAGUUAUAUUUGCUACAAUAUAGG